AGCAAAGAUGGCCUUUGAGCAGGCAGGGGAUGUCUCGUGUGGAGCAGGGGUGGCGGAGAUGGGAGGUGCCAAAAAUGUGUUUUGGAAACACGUGGGAGUGGGCAGGUGUGGUGCGAUGGCAAGAGAGGCGUGGGGUGCGGGACACCCUGCAGAUUGAGGGAAGCUCCGAGUUGUCAUCAGCUGGUGGAGAGGCCUUUCAUGGCUGCCAAGGGCCUCUCGAACUGAGGGACCACUUCCAAGAGCCAAGAAUGAGUCCUGCGCGUAUUCUUAGGCAAUGAGCCUCCCAAUGGGCCAGUCCCCCGCCCACACUUAGGAGAGAAACGAAUGAUUCUACCAGUUCCUCACGGAGAAGUGCCAGGAGGGCUGAGCAAGGUUUCCGGGUGUCCUCCAGCAGUGGACAGUGGGCCUGGGAACAGGCUGGUGUGCCGGUGGCGGCACGUGUCCAGGCCUGUUGGCGAGACUUUUGUCACUGUGGAGAAAACGCAAACACAGUAGUGGGAUGAGCAGAGCACUUGGGCUUAGAGACCUGCACGGGCUGUGUGAUCACAGACCGUCUCUUCUUCCAGCCUCCAUUGCAUGAGCUGCUUUUGAAGAGUCCUUCCAAGUCUGUCCAGCCCCGGCCCAGGUCCCACUGCCCAGUCUGCUGGGGCUUGGGGUGUUCGGUCCACAACUUGACAACCUGCUGACUGGUGGGAUGCAGAGAUGGGGAGAGUUUCUCAGAGGCCUCUUUGCACACUCUCCGUCUUCGGGUAAGGAUGACUGUUGUUCCCGUAGCCUGCCAGGGGGUUCGGUGGGGCUGUCGCUCUAAUUCUAGACAGAAUAGGAGCUGUACCUGACCACAGGGAAACAGCCAACGGAGACUCCGAGGCCAGCAAGGCCGUUGGCUGCACUUAAAUUGCCAGCAUUCUUUUUUGCUCUGAGAACAAAGCUUUAAGGCACGUGACUUAGACCCAAACACAAAUAAUGAGGCAUCCCGUUAGUCCAUGGGAGGAAAAUGGUGUGACCAGCAAGUCCCUGGGUGGUGGUGAGGUCUGGUUUUGGGAGAGCUGCCCCAUGACUACCUAAAUCAGCCUCUAAAUUUAUAGUUGUUCAGUCACUAAGUCGUGUCCAACUCUCUGUGACCCCACGGACUGCAGCCCACCAGGCUCCUCUCUCCUUCACUGUCUCAGAGUUUGCUCAGAUUCACGUCCACUGAGUCAGUGAUGCUAUCGAACCAUCUCAUCCUCUGCCGCCCCCGUCUCCUUUUGCCUUCAGCCUUUCCCAGCAUCAGAGUCUCUUCCAAUGAGUCAGCUCUUCGCAUCAGAUGGCCAAAGUAUUGGAACUUCAGCUUCAGCAUCAGUCCUUCCGAUGAAUACAGGGUUGAUUUCUUGUUUAUAGUACCAGCAGCAAUAGCUUGAUAACCUGGUAUGCUUCCAGCUCCUCUUGACCCAACAGGAAGAUCAGCAAAAGUUGAGCUCCUGAAGCCAGACCAAGUGUCCAGAGUCCUCAAGACCUUUUGGGUGCUGCAAGGGAGCAGAGUUGUCAUCUGCAUGUUGCAAUUGAACCGCUUUCUCCAGAACACUUGGGGCUAAGCUUGCCCCUUCUGAGGCAGGAAUUGGGAUUUCACUUCAUUUCCUGGAGAUUUCACCCUAAGCUGUGGUUGCCUUGUGAGUGGAAAAGACAAGGAUGCAUUGUCCAGUGGAUAAUGCCAGAAGUGAGGAUUGUAUUAAUACAAAAUGGGUUCUUGAGCUCUCCAUGCCAAGUGGGAGACUCCACUGUGUCCAUAAACUCGUAUUGAUCUGACUUGGAUGGAGCACUGUGUGUCCCUGUGGGUCCCAAAGUAUACGUACCUCUGUGGAAGAUGAGAUUUUGCUUUUUGGAUGGAGGGUAACUGCUACUAUUAACUGCCACCCGAGGUCCAUCUAGUCAAAGCUCUGGUUUUUCCAGUAGUCAUGUAUGGAUGUGAGAGUUGGACCAUGAAGAAAGCUGCUGCUGCUAAGUCACUUCAGUCAUGUCCAACUCUGUGCAACCCCAUAGACGACAGCCCACCAGGCUGCUCUGUCCCUGGGAUUCUCCAGGUAAGAGUACUAGAGUGGGUUGCCAUUGCCUUCUCCCUAGAAAGCUGAGUGCCAAAGAAUUGAUACUUUUUGAACUAUUGUGUUGGAGAAGACUCUUGAGAGUCCCUUGGACUGCAAGGAGAUCAAACCAGUCAAUCCUGAAGGAAAUCAAUCCUGAAUAUUCAUUUAUAGGACCAAUGCUGAAGCUGAAGCUCCAAUACUUUGGCUACCUGAUGCGAAUAACUGACUCCUUGGAAAAGACCCUGAUGCUGGGAAAGAUUGAAGGCAGGAGGCGAAGGGGACGACAGAGGAUGAGAUGGCUGGAUGGCAUCACUGACUCAAUGGGCGUGAGUCUGAGUGAACUCCGGGAGUUGGUAAUGGACAGGGAGGACUGGCAUGCUGCAGUCCAUGGCGUCGCAAAGAGUCAGACAUGACUGAGCAACUGAACUGAACCGAGGCCUCUCUGAGUGGGAGUUUGAUGUAUGACACAGGGAACCCAGAGAUGGUGCUCUGUGACAACCUGGAGGAAUGGACGGGGAGGGAGGUGAGAAGGGGGUUCAUUAUUCAAAGAUUCUGUUUGUGAAUUUAAAUUUUGAGUCUCUCAGUGUGUCUGUUCCCAGGCAAGGGUGAACAAGUGACUUCUUGUUUCAGCUCUUAUGCUGUGAAUAAGUGUCUUCCUCAGUCAAUUUAGUGUUGUGAUUCUUGCGUUUACCUGCUUUUUGUUGGUGCUUUUGCUGUGUCAAAUGUCCCCUCCAUCCACCAUUAAUGCAGAAAUGCUGUCUAGUGUCCCUAAGCACAAAAAGGCUGGGAUGUGCCUUAUGGAAAAAAAUGUAUGUGUUAGGGUGGCUUUGCUCAGGCCCAAAUUAUGGUGCUGUUGGCUUUGUCCAAUAUUUUUAACUUUUAUUGGCAUAUAGUUGACUUACAAUGUUGUAUUAGUUUCAGGUAUACAACAAAGUGAGUCAGUCAUACGUAUCUGUAUAUCCACUUUUUUAGGGGGGAAUUCUUUUCCUAUAUGUGGAUCAACAACAUAUAUUAAGUAAGAUGUCAUUAAGGGACUUCCUUGUAGCUCAGACAGUAAAGAAUGUACCUGCAAUUCAGGAGACCAAGGUUUGAUCCCUGGGUCAGGAAGGUCCUCUGGAGAAGGGCAUGGCAACCCACUCCAGUAUUCUUGCCUGGAGAAUCCCAUGGACAGAGGAGCCUGGCAGGCUACAGUAAGUGGGGUCGCAAUACAAUUGAAUGAUGAACACUACUCCUACGAAGAUGCCAGUAAAAAGAAACACACAUAAAGCAAGGUUAUUUAUUGGGUGGGUGACACAGCUGUUGUGACCAAAGGCUCACAGGAGCCUAGCCCUGCAUUUGCCCUAGGAACAGAGGUUUCCAAGUCUCUAAAUCAGCAUGGAUGAUGAGAAUGGACUGUAUUUGAUGCGGGUUUGUGCUUUUUCUGAGCACCUCUUCGGUCGUCCAGUAAUUCUCCAACUUUUAUCUGCACUGAAGAUUUUUAUUCCCACCCUUGUCCUUAUUCUGUGUGUCUGGCUCGUCUUUCACUGUCCUUCCUUCCCUUCUCAUUACACUUGCAUUCUCCUUCACCAGCUCCCAUCCGCUAGAGCGCCGCACAUCUAAGUGUGCCAGGGACCUGCUCUUUGAAAGGAACACUUAGAAAAGAACCUUGGCAGAAGGGUUUGGCAAUGUGGCCAGCAAGAGCCUGGACACUGUCCAUUUGUGUCUCAGCCUUAGAAGCAGGCAAUUUGGUGGGUUUAGUUAAGGCCAUGAAAAGGGAUAAUUAGAUCGGCAGUAGAGCAGCCCCUGCCCCCUUCCUUGGGCUCUAUGAUAUCUCAAGGGUUUUCAUCACAUGCUCCGAAUCAAAUACGUUUUAAUUACCUUUAAAACAAUUGCAAAAAUUUGUUCACAAAGCAAGAGCACAAGUUUUAAAGGUGCUGAUUUUGUAAAGUAGGCAAUUAUAGCCAGUGUUGUGAAAGC
ensembl:lncRNA